rnacentral:rRNA from 1 species
GGUUAAGCGACUAAGCGUACACGGUGGAUGCCCUGGCAGUCAGAGGCGAUGAAGGACGUGCUAAUCUGCGAAAAGCGUCGGUAAGGUGAUAUGAACCGUUAUAGCCGGCGAUGUCCGAAUGGGGAAACCCAGUGCAAUUCGUUGCACUAUCGUUAACUGAAUACAUAGGUUAACGAGGCGAACCGGGGGAACUGAAACAUCUAAGUACCCCGAGGAAAAGAAAUCAACCGAGAUUCCCCCAGUAGCGGCGAGCGAACGGGGAGCAGCCCAGAGUCUGAAUCAGCUUGUGUGUUAGUGGAACGGUCUGGAAAGUCCGACGGUACAGGGUGAUAGUCCCGUACACCAAAAUGCACAGGCUGUGAACUCGAAGAGUAGGGCGGGACACGUGGUAUCCUGUCUGAAUAUGGGGGGACCAUCCUCCAAGGCUAAAUACUCCUGACUGACCGAUAGUGAACCAGUACCGUGAGGGAAAGGCGAAAAGAACCCCGGCGAGGGGAGUGAAAAAGAACCUGAAACCGUGUACGUACAAGCAGUGGGAGCACCUUCGGGUGUGACUGCGUACCUUUUGUAUAAUGGGUCAGCGACUUAUAUUCUGUAGCAAGGUUAACCGUAUAGGGGAGCCGCAGGGAAACCGAGUCUUAACUGGGCGUUAAGUUGCAGGGUAUAGACCCGAAACCCGGUGAUCUAGCCAUGGGCAGGUUGAAGGUUGGGUAACACUAACUGGAGGACCGAACCGACUAAUGUUGAAAAAUUAGCGGAUGACUUGUGGCUGGGGGUGAAAGGCCAAUCAAACCGGGAGAUAGCUGGUUCUCCCCGAAAGCUAUUUAGGUAGCGCCUCGUGAACUCAUCUUCGGGGGUAGAGCACUGUUUCGGCUAGGGGGUCAUCCCGACUUACCAACCCGAUGCAAACUACGAAUACCGAAGAAUGUUAUCACGGGAGACACACGGCGGGUGCUAACGUCCGUCGUGAAGAGGGAAACAACCCAGACCGCCAGCUAAGGUCCCAAAGUCAUGGUUAAGUGGGAAACGAUGUGGGAAGGCACAGACAGCCAGGAUGUUGGCUUAGAAGCAGCCAUCAUUUAAAGAAAGCGUAAUAGCUCACUGGUCGAGUCGGCCUGCGCGGAAGAUGUAACGGGGCUAAACCAUGCACCGAAGCUGCGGCAGCGACACUAUGUGUUGUUGGGUAGGGGAGCGUUCUGUAAGCCUGCGAAGGUGUGCUGUGAGGCAUGCUGGAGGUAUCAGAAGUGCGAAUGCUGACAUAAGUAACGAUAAAGCGGGUGAAAAGCCCGCUCGCCGGAAGACCAAGGGUUCCUGUCCAACGUUAAUCGGGGCAGGGUGAGUCGACCCCUAAGGCGAGGCCGAAAGGCGUAGUCGAUGGGAAACAGGUUAAUAUUCCUGUACUUGGUGUUACUGCGAAGGGGGGACGGAGAAGGCUAUGUUAGCCGGGCGACGGUUGUCCCGGUUUAAGCAUGUAGGCUGGUUGUCCAGGCAAAUCCGGAUAAUCAAGGCUGAGGUGUGAUGACGAGGCACUACGGUGCUGAAGUAACAAAUGCCCUGCUUCCAGGAAAAGCCUCUAAGCAUCAGGUAACAUUAAAUCGUACCCCAAACCGACACAGGUGGUCAGGUAGAGAAUACCAAGGCGCUUGAGAGAACUCGGGUGAAGGAACUAGGCAAAAUGGUGCCGUAACUUCGGGAGAAGGCACGCUGGUGUGUAGGUGAAGUCCCUGCGGAUGGAGCUGAGACCAGUCGAAGAUACCAGCUGGCUGCAACUGUUUAUUAAAAACACAGCACUGUGCAAACACGAAAGUGGACGUAUACGGUGUGACGCCUGCCCGGUGCCGGAAGGUUAAUUGAUGGGGUUAUCCGUAAGGAGAAGCUCUUGAUCGAAGCCCCGGUAAACGGCGGCCGUAACUAUAACGGUCCUAAGGUAGCGAAAUUCCUUGUCGGGUAAGUUCCGACCUGCACGAAUGGCGUAAUGAUGGCCAGGCUGUCUCCACCCGAGACUCAGUGAAAUUGAACUCGCUGUGAAGAUGCAGUGUACCCGCGGCAAGACGGAAAGACCCCGUGAACCUUUACUAUAGCUUGACACUGAACAUUGAGCCUUGAUGUGUAGGAUAGGUGGGAGGCUUUGAAGCGUGGACGCCAGUCUGCGUGGAGCCAACCUUGAAAUACCACCCUUUAAUGUUUGAUGUUCUAACGUUGGCCCCUGACCGGGGUUGCGGACAGUGUCUGGUGGGUAGUUUGACUGGGGCGGUCUCCUCCCAAAGCGUAACGGAGGAGCACGAAGGUUAGCUAAUCCUGGUCGGACAUCAGGAGGUUAGUGCAAUGGCAUAAGCUAGCUUGACUGCGAGCGUGACGGCGCGAGCAGGUGCGAAAGCAGGUCAUAGUGAUCCGGUGGUUCUGAAUGGAAGGGCCAUCGCUCAACGGAUAAAAGGUACUCCGGGGAUAACAGGCUGAUACCGCCCAAGAGUUCAUAUCGACGGCGGUGUUUGGCACCUCGAUGUCGGCUCAUCACAUCCUGGGGCUGAAGUAGGUCCCAAGGGUAUGGCUGUUCGCCAUUUAAAGUGGUACGCGAGCUGGGUUUAGAACGUCGUGAGACAGUUCGGUCCCUAUCUGCCGUGGGCGCUGGAGAAUUGAGGGGGGCUGCUCCUAGUACGAGAGGACCGGAGUGGACGCAUCACUGGUGUUCGGGUUGUCAUGCCAAUGGCACUGCCCGGUAGCUAAAUGCGGAAGAGAUAAGUGCUGAAAGCAUCUAAGCACGAAACUUGCCCCGAGAUGAGUUCUCCCUGAGACUUUAAGUCUCCUGAAGGAACGUUGAAGACGACGACGUUGAUAGGCCGGGUGUGUAAGCGCAGCGAUGCGUUGAGCUAACCGGUACUAAUGAACCGUGAGGCUUAACCUU